rnacentral:lncRNA from 10 species
GAACCUUCAAAGAGACUGUUACACUGACGUGGCCCUCCCUCUUUAUGAAAACCUCAACAUUGUGGAGCAGCCGGUGAACUUGAGCAGCCUUGCCCAGAAGUAUGCUGAGAAAGCAACCCAGUUCAUCCAGCGUGCAAGCACCAGCGGGAGGCCCUUCCUGCUCUAUGUGGCUCUGGCCCACAUGCACGUGCCCUUACCUGUGACUCAGCUACCAGCAGCGCCACGGGGCAGAAGCCUGUAUGGUGCAGGGCUCUGGGAGAUGGACAGUCUGGUGGGCCAGAUCAAGGACAAAGUUGACCACACAGUGAAGGAAAACACAUUCCUCUGGUUUACAGGAGACAAUGGCCCGUGGGCUCAGAAGUGUGAGCUAGCGGGCAGUGUGGGUCCCUUCACUGGAUUUUGGCAAACUCGUCAAGGUAAUUUGGUUGGCACUUCUCUGGCAGGCAUUAUGCAAAAGUACCUUGCUUGAAGCUUUAUGUACACUGUCUUAUAUAACUGUUCCCACAGCCCUGUGAGAUACGUACAACUGAC